rnacentral:rRNA from 1 species
GAUGAUCUCCAGCUUGCUGGGGGGAUUAGUGGCGAACGGGUGAGUAACACGUGAGUAACCUGCCCUUAACUCUGGGAUAAGCCUGGGAAACUGGGUCUAAUACCGGAUAUGACUCCUCAUCGCAUGGUGGGGGGUGGAAAGCUUUUUGUGGUUUUGGAUGGACUCGCGGCCUAUCAGCUUGUUGGUGAGGUAAUGGCUUACCAAGGCGACGACGGGUAGCCGGCCUGAGAGGGUGACCGGCCACACUGGGACUGAGACACGGCCCAGACUCCUACGGGAGGCAGCAGUGGGGAAUAUUGCACAAUGGGCGCAAGCCUGAUGCAGCGACGCCGCGUGAGGGAUGACGGCCUUCGGGUUGUAAACCUCUUUCAGUAGGGAAGAAGCGAAAGUGACGGUACCUGCAGAAGAAGCGCCGGCUAACUACGUGCCAGCAGCCGCGGUAAUACGUAGGGCGCAAGCGUUAUCCGGAAUUAUUGGGCGUAAAGAGCUCGUAGGCGGUUUGUCGCGUCUGCCGUGAAAGUCCGGGGCUCAACUCCGGAUCUGCGGUGGGUACGGGCAGACUAGAGUGAUGUAGGGGAGACUGGAAUUCCUGGUGUAGCGGUGAAAUGCGCAGAUAUCAGGAGGAACACCGAUGGCGAAGGCAGGUCUCUGGGCAUUAACUGACGCUGAGGAGCGAAAGCAUGGGGAGCGAACAGGAUUAGAUACCCUGGUAGUCCAUGCCGUAGACGUUGGGCACUAGGUGUGGGGGACAUUCCACGUUUUCCGCGCCGUAGCUAACGCAUUAAGUGCCCCGCCUGGGGAGUACGGCCGCAAGGCUAAAACUCAGAGGAAUUGACGGGGGCCCGCACAAGCGGCGGAGCAUGCGGAUUAAUUCGAUGCAACGCGAAGAACCUUACCAAGGCUUGACAUGGGCCGGAUCGCCGCAGAAAUGUGGUUUCCCCUUUGGGGCCGGUU